rnacentral:rRNA from 1 species
GAGUAUUACGAGCCACAGCUUAACUCAAAGGACUUGGCGGUGCCUUACAUCCACCUAGAGGAGCCUGUUCUAUAAUUGAUACCCCCCAAUAAACCUCACCGCCUCUUGCAAAUACAGCCUAUAUACCACCGUCACAAGCCCACCUCACCAGAGAAUAGCAGCAGGCUAAAUAACUUUAAGUAAAAAAGUCAGGUCAAGGUGUAGCAAAUGAUUCGGAAAGAAAUGGGCUACAUUUUCUUUAAAGAAAACACGAAAUACUCUGUGAAACAUAGUAUGAAGGAGGAUUUAGUAGUAAAAAGAAAAUAGAGUGUUCUUUUAAAACUGGCAAUAAGGCGAGCACACACCGCCCGUCACCCUCUUAAAUAAAAAUAAUUAAAAUAUAAUAACCAGACUCAAAAUAGAGGAAAGUCGUAACAUGGUAAGUCUACCGGAAGGUGGCCUUGGA